rnacentral:rRNA from 1 species
GUUAAAAAGCUCGUAGUUGGAUUUCGGAAUGGGCCAGUUGGUCCGCCUCACGGUGUGUUACUGGCUGGUCUGUUCUUCUUCGCAAAGACUGCGUGUGCUCUUUACUGAGUGUACGUAGGAUUUACGACGUUUACUUUGAAGAAAUUAGAGUGUUCAAAGCAGGCAUACCGCUUGAAUACAUGAGCAUGGAAUAAUGGAAUAGGACUUUGGUCUUAUUUUGUUGGUUUCUGAGACCGAAGUAAUGAUUAAGAGGGACAGUUGGGGGCAUUCGUAUUUCGUUGUCAGAGGUGAAAUUCUUGGAUUUACGAAAGACGAACAAUUGCGAAAGCAUUUGCCAAGAAUGUUUUCACUAAUCAAGAACGAAAGUUAGAGGAUCGAAGACGAUCAGAU